rnacentral:rRNA from 1 species
AGUUUGAUCCUGGCUCAGGAUGAACGCUAGCUACAGGCUUAACACAUGCAAGUCGAGGGGCAGCAUGAACUUAGCUUGCUAAGUUUGAUGGCGACCGGCGCACGGGUGAGUAACACGUAUCCAACCUGCCGAUGACUCGGGGAUAGCCUUUCGAAAGAAAGAUUAAUACCCGAUGGCAUAGUUCUUCCGCAUGGUAGAACUAUUAAAGAAUUUCGGUCAUCGAUGGGGAUGCGUUCCAUUAGGUUGUUGGCGGGGUAACGGCCCACCAAGCCUUCGAUGGAUAGGGGUUCUGAGAGGAAGGUCCCCCACAUUGGAACUGAGACACGGUCCAAACUCCUACGGGAGGCAGCAGUGAGGAAUAUUGGUCAAUGGACGAGAGUCUGAACCAGCCAAGUAGCGUGAAGGAUGACUGCCCUAUGGGUUGUAAACUUCUUUUAUACGGGAAUAAAGUGAGGCACGCGUGCCUUUUUGUAUGUACCGUAUGAAUAAGGAUCGGCUAACUCCGUGCCAGCGGCCGCGGUAAUACGGAGGAUCCGAGCGUUAUCCGGAUUUAUUGGGUUUAAAGGGAGCGUAGGCGGACGCUUAAGUCAGUUGUGAAAGUUUGCGGCUCAACCGUAAAAUUGCAGUUGAUACUGGGUGUCUUGAGUACAGUAGAGGCAGGCGGAAUUCGUGGUGUAGCGGUGAAAUGCUUAGAUAUCACGGAGAACUCCGAUUGCGAAGGCAGCCUGCUGGACUGUAACUGACGCUGAUGCUCGAAAGUGUGGGUAUCAAACAGGAUUAGAUACCCUGGUAGUCCACACAGUAAACGAUGAAUACUCGCUGUUUGCGAUAUACAGUAAGCGGCCAAGCGAAAGCGUUAAGUAUUCCACCUGGGGAGUACGCCGGCAACGGUGAAACUCAAAGGAAUUGACGGGGGCCCGCACAAGCGGAGGAACAUGUGGUUUAAUUCGAUGAUACGCGAGGAACCUUACCCGGGCUUGAAUUGCAACUGAAUGAUGUGGAGACAUGUCAGCCGCAAGGCAGUUGUGAAGGUGCUGCAUGGUUGUCGUCAGCUCGUGCCGUGAGGCGUCGGCUUAAGUGCCAUAACGGGCGCAACCCUUAUCGAUAGUUACCAUCAGGUUAUGCUGGGGACUCUGUCGAGACUGCCGUCGUAAGAUGUGAGGAAGGUGG